rnacentral:rRNA from 1 species
UUGAACGCUGGCGGAAUGCUUUACACAUGCAAGUCGAACGGCAGCACGGGGGCAACCCUGGUGGCGAGUGGCGAACGGGUGAGUAACACAUCGGAACGCGUCCUGUAAUGGGGGAUAACCUGGCGAAAGCCAGGCUAAUACCGCAUACGUCCUGAGGGAGAAAGCGGGGGAUCGCAAGACCUCGCGUUAUAGGAGCGGCCGAUGUCGGAUUAGCUAGUUGGUGGGGUAAAGGCCUACCAAGGCGACGAUCCGUAGCGGGUCUGAGAGGACGGCCAGCCACACUGGGACUGAGACACGGCCCAGACUCCUACGGGAGGCAGCAGUGGGGAAUUUUGGACAAUGGGCGCAAGCCUGAUCCAGCCAUUCCGCGUGAGUGAAGAAGGCCUUCGGGUUGUAAAGCUCUUUCGGCCGGGAAGAAAUCGCAUCUCCUAAUACGGGGUGUGGAUGACGGUACCGGAAGAAGAAGCACCGGCUAACUACGU